rnacentral:rRNA from 1 species
GAUGAACGCUGGCGGCGUGGAUAAGGCAUGCAAGUCAAACGGCCCUUCGGGGCAGUGGCAAACGAGGUAGUAACACGUAGGUAUUUACCCCAGAGUCAGGAAUAACCUGUCGAAAGACAGGCUAAUACUUGAUAGUCUCUUCGGAGUAAAGAUUUAUCGCUUUGGGAAAAGCCUGCGGAGUAUCAGCUUGUUGGUAGUGUAAUGGACUACCAAGGCUAUGACGCUUAGGGGAGCUGAGAGGCUGACCCCCACCGAUGGUACUGAGACACGGACCAUACACCUACGGGUGGCCGCAGUCGAGAAUCUUCCGCAAUGGACGAAAGUCUGACGGAGCGACGCCGCGUGAUCGAUGAAGUCUUUCGGGAUGUAAAGAUCUUUUAUCAAGGAGGAAGUUUAUUGACGUUACUUGAUGAAUAAGAGGUUGCUAAACUCG